rnacentral:rRNA from 1 species
GACGAACGUUGGCGGCGUGCUUAAUACAUGCAAGUCAACUGAAGCAGUGGUAGCAAUAUCGCUGUGGAGGUGGCGCACGGGUGAGUAACACGUAGGUAAUCUGCCUUCAGGUCUGGCAUAACUCCGGGAAACCGGGGCUAAUAGCAGAUGAUGCAGCGGCUCGACAUCGAGACAGUUGUUAAAGCUAUGGCGCCUGAAGAUGAGCCUGCGUCUGAUUAGCUAGUUGGCGGGGUAACGGCCCACCAAGGCAACGAUCAGUAGCUGGUCUGAGAGGAUGAUCGGCCACACUGGAACUGAGACACGGUCCAGACUCCUACGGGAGGCAGCAGUAAGGAAUAUUGCUCAAUGGGAGAAAUCCUGAAGCAGCAACGCCGCGUGAGGGACGAAGGGCUUUUGCUUGUAAACCUCUGUAGUGAGAGAAAAAAAUCCCAAUCUUUGGGACAUGAUGGUAUCUCAAAAGUAAGCCCCGGCUAACUACGU